UAGGAACCAGAAGUACCGUAGAAUUAAAUAAAAUUUCGCAACCUCAAAAAACUGUUCUGCUCACAGUAAACACAGUCGGUAGUCUGGCGCUCCGUUUACAACGGGAUUUUUGAACGGAACUUGGCGCCAGAUUCUACCGAAUCUGUGGAUAGCGCAGAUGGCUGCCCGCGCCGUGGCCCGCCUGAUUGCCGCUAUUCACAAUGAGGCAUUAGGUCGAAAUCUACAUUUUAUUGCUAGCCUCACGCGGGACGCACUACAGCUCCGCGGCAGGGAUAUAAUGCUGACAGCCACUCCUGCGGGCUCAUCACAAGCCCUUCCGCCAUCGGCGACGGACGUAGCUUCUGUCCGCACCACUUCUCAAUUGUGAAUGACGUAAAGUGGAACCUCAUGUCGUGGCGCCCGCUUCCUGUUCCGCUUCCUGCGCUGCAGCUGCAGCAUGAAGAGCGCGCCGAGCAGCAGGUAGCCGAGGUUCGAGAACACGUGGUUGAAGUCGGACAGCCCGCCCGCCGGGUGCGCGCACAGGAAGUUGUAGUAGCACAUGUCCAGCGACCCCGAUAUGUUCAGCAUCUGACGAGAAUAAAUAAGAAAAAAAAGAGGACGUACCACCUGGAAGGCGGCGACGAACUGCAGCACGGGCAGUGCGUAGAACACGGCCACGGUGUAGAGCGUGUGCAGGUAGCGGUCCGAGCGCGCCCGCAGCACGCGCCGCCCGCGCCGCGCCAGCGCCGCCACGUGCAGCCGCGCCGGCAGACCGAACGGACGACUCUGCAGAGCACAGUACAUCUGGACCCACGGUUCUAUCCAACACGCCCUACCAGUGCGCUGAGGCGCCUGCAUACCGGCUGUCCCACAAAGAGUACAUCGAGCCGAAACUGUAGACAGCGUUCCAUCAGAAUAAUUGACUCGACAAAAGAAAAAAAGUUCCCAGUAAAUAGUUUCGUAAUAAAGAGUACUUGAACAUGACGAACAAACCAUUCUUCGGCCAUCCUUUGAAUUAUAUUACACAAGGUAUCGUAUUAAGGUUAUUAUUAUUAUUAGUAUUGUGAUUUUCUUCAUUUUUCGACCUUAAAUCAAAAUUUUCUUGUAAUAGGGAAUGCUGUGUAUAAGAGAAACGACCUAGCUCUCUUUGUCCUUUCCCUCUCCCCGCGCUCGUCGAGUGGAUCGCGAGACGCUCGGUCUAUUUUCUCACUCUCGCUCUUCCUAAAUUGUAUCCUGUCUGUCUAGCCGCAAUGAAUCUGUCGCGAGUUAAAUUUUACUCUCAAUGCGCCUAAAUAAGUUUCACUUCAAAAAAUAACGCAGGCUACGAGUAAGUCCGAAGUAAACGAUUUUCUCCGCUCAAUAGGCAUUGUCCUGGCGAUAUCGCUUUCAUUAAGUCCUCUUUGGAACGUGAUGAACCAUCUGUAUCAUCUAGGUCAAGGAAAAUGGAACAGACUCUGAGUUUGCAAGAGCUAAGUUUCGUCGCGCGUGUUACUUAAUUAAUUAGUCGAAAUCUAACUCCAAUCGGAGUAGGCCGCGUACCUACAUGCGUCAAAUUAUAGUUACAUAUACUUGUUUCAAAGAUAGGAUAGAAAGCAAGAUUGCAAUGGAGACUCGACCUCAUUUCACAAGUAGGUGGUGGUAUACAUGUUAUAAUAUCUAUGAGUUGCGGUGCGAUAAUCACGUAAAAUCAGGUGCGCCGUAUGCUCAACAACUAAUGUACAGCAGUAAAUUAAUAAUAACAGUCCUAGUUCCGCUACACAAAUUCAGCCAAGACUCAGGCCUUUGAAGGGCUGCGGCAGUCGCUCCGAAUGUGUCUUCUUUUGUCUUUGCAAUAAAGAAGUAAUAUAAUAACAUGUUCAAGUUUGCAGAAGCUUUUGAGCCUUGUGAACCUAGUGAUAUGAUUGUAUUUUGCUGUAUUCUUUGUUUGAAAUAAGUUGAAAGCCUUUGUUAUAAUUUUGUUCUGACGCAUGAACCGAAUGAACGACGCAAUGGUACUUUUGUUGUACAAAGUCAAGGCUCUCAUAGAACAGUUGAAGCAAUUAUUAUUUUUUUCCUACCUAUGAUGAUAGCCUUGAGAGGUUAUUUCAGUUUCACCCUAAUGUGUAGGUGAGCUCACGGGGCUCAAACCGGAGUGGUGCUAACACUGGCCCUGGCAAGAGCAGUGCUUCGCAGAAUCUACCGCCGGAUCGGAAACGCGACCCACUGAGAAGAUCCUGGCGAGAAACUCAGUGGGCUGUGUCUAUGGGUUAAUUUGCUCGUCGAGCCCUUCGUCGCAAGCGACGGAUUCGACGAGGACGGUGACCGGUGCUUGAGAUACCUAAAAGCACCGUUAAUGGAUCGGGAGGAUCCGUAAUGACGCGUUUUGGGCAACGUCGACUGUUUACCAUUCGGUCUACAGGAUUGGGUAUGUAGUUUCCAGCGGCUACGACAAGAGGAUUCUCCUGUCGUGCCGCUUUCUCAAAGUGUGAAGCAAUUAGGUAAUAAUUUAGUUAUUGUAUGAAAUUACUAAUUAUUGUCAGAACGCUUCUUCAAAAAAGCGACGCGACACGAUAGCCCUCAUAUUGUGAUUUCCUAAACUUAUAUGCUCGACCCAGAUGACGGAGCGACGCCAAGCACAUCCUAUUUUAUCCUCCCGAUCCACUCUCGGUGCCGUCUGACCUGCAGCCCAGCCCAUAAAUGAAACCCACUGAGUUUCUCGCCAGAUCUCUGCAGUGGGUCGCGAUUUCGAUCCGGUGAUAGAUUUAGCAAAGCGCUGCUCUCGUUAGGGCUAGUGUUAGCAAGUCGUCCCAGGUUGAGCUCUGUGAGUUCACUUAGCAAACCCCUUCGGCUACGAACGAACACGUAGAGGAACACAUUACAGAGGUCACGUUUUGGCCCGGUGUACUGUAGUGGGACCGCGCGGGGUGCGUGCGUACUGUGCGCGUCGGCGAGCACGGCCCGCGGCGCCGUGAGCCGCGCGCAGGCGGGCCAGCGCUGCGCCAGCACCAGCGCCGCGAACCCCGCGUAGAACAGCAGGAACACCGCCACCGUCACGCCCGCGCCCACCAUGUACUGCGCCCGGGACAGCGACGCCUGCACACCAACAUCUUACUUCUAAUCACCUACUGCACGUUUCGCUAUUUUGGGCCAGAACAGAGAGUCUACAAGACACUCAUCAAAUUUUGAACGAAUCUUUUAGCGCUCACUAAGACAAAGAGAGAAGAACAAAGUGACAGGCCCGGGCGGACAAUUACUUGUCCGUCCUUGCUUACGCAAGCCUCUUGAAUCUCUUUCAAUAGUUUUAAUUAUGACUACACGAUGUUCUCUAUAGAAUUCAAUCAUGUCAGGUUCAUUUCUGAUUCUGGCAUUGCUGAAGUCCAUGGGCGACGGUAACCAUUCACCAUCAGGUGGGCCGUAUGCCCGUCUGCCUACAAAGGCAAUAAAAAAAAAAAAAAAAAAAAAAAAUUUUCUCAAAUUUUCGUCGAUUUAAAGAUGCAAGAACAGAAAAGUUAUCUAUUUGUUGUGAGAAUGAGUGAUUGUACCCUAACGGUCAGCGUGAAGGUCUUCUGCCGCAGAGUGGCCGGGGGGGAGGGGCGGUCAGUGUGGGCCCAGAGGGCGGCCUCCAGCAGCCAGUCGUCCUCGGGGGCCGGCUCGCCGGAGCACGCCGCGUCGUCGGGCCGCACCAGCGACACCACGUAGAACCCCAUCGGGUACAGGCUGCGCUGUCAACGCACGACAAGAACUCUUUUCGAUGACGCGGAACAUCUCAAGGAUCGAAGUGACGAAGAGCUGCACGGCGCCGGAGCGCAUGACGGUCAUCCUGAGGGUCGUCAGGUCGAUGUCCUCGAUGGUCUCCGCCAACGGACACUGAAGGAGAAAAACAAAACGCGUCUUCAAAAUAAAAUAAUAAUAAUGAAAAACUCAGGUCAUGUUGACGUAACCUUACUGUUGUUGAAAAAUGCACGAGUUGAGCGAAUUUAUUUACAUUUGGGGCUAUAUUUACCAAACGAGGUCAGAGCAUCCUCCCUAGAUACUACCCACUCUAUACAAUCAACUUCAGAACGCUAGUUUUAAAAUAAUACAAUUUGUACCAAAAAUGUUUGCAGAUCAUCAUUAGCAACGUGUGCGUGUAUGCGUUCUGACCCGAGCAAACAUUACACAGAGUAUCACGUACUAUUGUAAUCACGAAAUUAAAAACAACUAUAGAUCCAAAGCCAUUUCUAAAGAUCAAUACAUGCAUGUUCGGGUGCAUGUUGGACGUCAGCGCCGGUGCUUCGAAAGACAUUUUAUGUAUACAAUUUUAUUAGACCUCACAAGCUUUAUUAAUUGUUCAACUUUUUCUAAUGCGAGAGCUUUUCUUCGUUCAACUUUUUUUAAAGAGAAACAAAAAACUUACUUUCCACACCGGGCCGACGUACAAUGUGCGCCUGAGCUAAAACGUACGGACAAUCACACCCACCGACCACAAACAUAAGAUCUACCGUGUAUCUCUGCACGGAGAUGGUCGCGCACACCUCGUCCUCCGACUCCACGAUCAGUCGGACGCUGUUCUGUCCCGGAAUGAAGUCAUAGUAGUUUACCGCAGGACCAGUCUGAAAUAUUAUUUAUUAAUUCUCAAGUGAAGGUAGUGCUCAAUAAGUCAAGCAGUCUGUUCAAUAUUCAUAGCUUUGUUUGAUUUACAGCUCAUGUUAGUGCAUGAGAGCAGACACCGAUGUACCUAAAAGUCGAAAGUACAGCAGACGCAAUGCGAUACUUGUCGGUCAUAUUGGAAAUAUAUAGGAGGUGGCUUUGAGGUAUUUUUUAGGAUAGGAAGGCUUGAUGCAACGCCACCUUACGAGAAAAGAACAUUUUCCUUCGUUGGCAAGUCUACCCCAUAUAGUCUGCAGAGGCUGAAUGCGGUGCGAUCACGGAGUCACUUCACGUGUCGGAGUUCUGCAGAAUAACUCCCAUUUUCCCUGACCUUUUUGCUCUAAGUUAUCGGUUAACGUAGAGAUUGAACAGUAACGCGGACCGGACGGACCCUUGCGAAGCUCCAAACAAGAUUGGGCGCAAACAGAAACGAAUUUACUUGACCCGAUACUGAAAUUAAUGAUUGGAUGAGAACUCUCGUGAAGUGUUGUGCAAAUCGUUGUAAUUGUUGUAACUUUGCUGAACGCCUACACAACAUUAAAGAAAGCGACUCCCGUGUAAACGAUUUUGGGUCUGUUAAGAAAUACUUGAACGAGAUCCGUGAUGUGGUGCACAAGUGUUUGAAGUGGAACCCAGUCGUCGUGGCCUAAAGGAUACGACGUCCGAUGCAUUCGUUUUGAACGAUGUAACGGUUUUUGAAUCCCGCAGGCGCGUAUCAAUUUUUCUAAUGAAAUACGUAUCUGGCAAAUGUUCACGAUUGACUUCCACGGUGAAGGAAUAACAUCGUGUAAUCAAAAUCAAACCCGCAAAAUUAUAAUUUACGUAAUUACUGGUGGUAGGACCUCUUGUGAGUCCGCACAAAUAGGUACCACCACCCUGCCUAUUUCUGCCGUGAAGCAGUAAUGCAUUUCGGUUUGAAGGGUGGGGCAUCCGUUGUAACUAUACUAAGACCUUAGAACUUAAGUAUAUCUCAAGAUGGGUGGCGGCGUUUACCCUGUAGACGUCUAAGGGCUCCCGUAACCACUUAACACCUACACUACUCGUCCAUGGGAAUGCUCUGGGAGGAGACGAAUCCCCGAGGCGCUUGCAGAUCAGAUACUCGUAUAUUUGUUUAUUAGAGACAUGAGGCUAGUCUGACGGUGGGCUUAGGUGCUAUUUUGAUUUGCAGAGUUUGUAAAUGCCCAUAAUGUCUAUUACUUACUUACUUACGUAGGGUUUUAGGGGAGUUCUACGUUCGAACCAUAAGGAAUAGCUCUGGCUGUUCGGGGCUCGCGGAUUUAAUACAAGAACGAGUAUGUAACUCUAAUUUUCUAUGUCAUCGAAUGCCGGAGGUCGGUCGGUCGGCGUGUGCGAGGAGACACAACGGCGGCCGCGUCGGGCCCGGAGGUCUGAGACAAUUCUACGAUGAUUUUAGAUAACGCUAUGAAGCUCGCAACCUUGUUUCGGUUGGCUACGAAUCAUAAACCUGGAUCGAUCGGUUUUUUGCUCGUAAACGAUCUUUAACGUCGUCAGGCAGUUUGAGGCGGUGAAGGACUAAUCGUUUUUAUAACCUUUUCACAUAUAGCGGGAGAAUGUGUGAGCUUGGGCCGAAUUAUAAAGGGCAGAGACUUAGUACCUGUGUCGCGGUGACGGUGGUGCGGGCCUGGAAGCCGAGCAGCCAGUCCCUGGCGGGUGCGGCUCGCAGCGUGACGGUGAGGGGCGCGGCGCAGGCGGACGCGAGGUGCAGGGUGAAGCCGCGCUGCGAGCCCGCGCCCUCGCACUCGGACGGCGCCCCCACCGCGUCCGUCGGGGAGCCAUCCCAGCACAGCGUGCGCUCCAGCUCAGACAUCAGCAUCGAUCCGGACUGGUACGGGAGCUGCCAUGUUGUCGCUCCUGCGUCAUCAACAAACUGUGAAACUAGAUCAACUCUCGUCUCUGUCUCUCUUCGUCGACUAUUAUUAGAAUAUCAUAGUUGUUUGUUUGUUAAAAAGCACCCACAAUUAUAUAAAUCGUGUGGCGAGUACUGUCAAUUUAAUACAAGAUACCCUACUAAACUAAUGUUACCAAGUAUAAAUACUCGUUACUACCAUACAAACUGUUAUCCUAUGACUAUCAGAAUAUUUAAUAAGAUACCAAACAGCAUAAGAGAUCUUCCACUAACUCAAUUUAAAAGAAAAUUAUAUUUAUGGCUGAUAGAUAAGGCUUAUUAUAGUGUGCAAGAAUUUUUAAAUGAUAAGUGUUGUACAUAAUAAAAUAUUAGAAUAAGAAGUGAUAGAAUGUAAAAAUAGAUAGAUUUAGUAAAUUUUGUGUUAUAAUUAAUAUAAAAAUAAAUUAAAUUUUCGCAUGCCUAAACAGGCGAAAUAUAUGAAGCUAUGUCCUAUAUCUUAUAAACUAUAUUUCUGGCGAAUAAAGAUUUUCUUUCUUUC